rnacentral:tRNA from 1 species
GCUUCGGUAGUUUAAAAGCUUAGGACGUUUGUAUGGAAUACAAGAAAUCCGGGUUCGACUCCUGGCCAAGAUA